AUUGAACGCUGGCGGCAGGCCUAACACAUGCAAGUCGAGCGGAUGAAGGGAGCUUGCUCCUGGAUUCAGCGGCGGACGGGUGAGUAAUGCCUAGGAAUCUGCCUGGUAGUGGGGGAUAACGUCCGGAAACGGGCGCUAAUACCGCAUACGUCCUGAGGGAGAAAGUGGGGGUUCUUCGGACCUCACGCUAUUAGAUGAGCCUAGGUCGGAUUAGCUAGUUGGUGGGGUAAGGGCCUACCAAGGCGACGAUCCGUAACUGGUCUGAGAGGAUGAUCUGUCACACUGGAACUGAGACACGGUCCAGACUCCUACGGGAGGCAGCAGUAGGGAAUAUUGGACAAUGGGCGAAAGCCUGAUCCAGCCAUGCCGCGUGUGUGAAGAAGGUCUUCGGAUUGUAAAGCACUUUAAGUUGGGAGGAAGGACAGUAAGUUAAUACCUUGCUGUUUUGACGUUACCAACAGAAUAAGCACCGGCUAACUUCGUG
rnacentral:rRNA from 1 species